AAUACCAAGGCGCUUGAGAGAACUCGGGUGAAGGAACUAGGCAAAAUGGUACCGUAACUUCGGGAGAAGGUACGCUCUUGAUGGUGAAGUCCCUCGCGGAUGGAGCUGACGAGAGUCGCAGAUACCAGGUGGCUGCAACUGUUUAUUAAAAACACAGCACUGUGCAAAAUCGCAAGAUGACGUAUACGGUGUGACGCCUGCCCGGUGCCGGAAGGUUAAUUGAUGGGGUUAGCGCAAGCGAAGCUCUUGAUCGAAGCCCCGGUAAACGGCGGCCGUAACUAUAACGGUCCUAAGGUAGCGAAAUUCCUUGUCGGGUAAGUUCCGACCUGCACGAAUGGCGUAAUGAUGGCCACGCUGUCUCCACCCGAGACUCAGUGAAAUUGAAAUCGCUGUGAAGAUGCAGUGUACCCGCGGCUAGACGGAAAGACCCCGUGAACCUUUACUACAGCUUGGCACUGAACAUUGAACCUACAUGUGUAGGAUAGGUGGGAGGCUAUGAAGACGUGACGCCAGUUGCGUUGGAGCCGUCCUUGAAAUACCACCCUUGUAUGUUUGAUGUUCUAACUUAGACCCAUUAUCUGGGUUGAGGACAGUGCCUGGUGGGUAGUUUGACUGGGGCGGUCUCCUCCCAAAGAGUAACGGAGGAGCACGAAGGUGGGCUAAUCACGGUUGGACAUCGUGAGGUUAGUGCAAUGGCAUAAGCCCGCUUAACUGCGAGAAUGACGGUUCGAGCAGGUGCGAAAGCAGGUCAUAGUGAUCCGGUGGUUCUGUAUGGAAGGGCCAUCGCUCAACGGAUAAAAGGUACUCCGGGGAUAACAGGCUGAUACCGCCCAAGAGUUCAUAUCGACGGCGGUGUUUGGCACCUCGAUGUCGGCUCAUCACAUCCUGGGGCUGAAGUCGGUCCCAAGGGUAUGGCUGUUCGCCAUUUAAAGUGGUACGCGAGCUGGGUUUAGAACGUCGUGAGACAGUUCGGUCCCUAUCUGCCGUGGGCGUUGGAAGAUUGAAGGGGGCUGCUCCUAGUACGAGAGGACCGGAGUGGACGAACCUCUGGUGUUCGGGUUGUGUCGCCAGACGCAUUGCCCGGUAGCUAAGUUCGGAAUUGAUAAGCGCUGAAAGCAUCUAAGCGCGAAGCGAGCCCUGAGAUGAGUCUUCCCUGACAGUUUAACUGUCCUAAAGGGUUGUUCGAGACUAGAACGUUGAUAGGCAGGGUGUGUAAGCGUUGUGAGGCGUUGAGCUAACCUGUACUAAUUGCCCGUGAGGCUUAACCAU
rnacentral:rRNA from 1 species